rnacentral:rRNA from 1 species
GGCAGAGGGUGCAACCGUUGUUCGGAAUUACUGGGCGUAAAGCGUGUGUAGGCGGCUUAGCAAGUCGGAUGUGAAAGCCCCGGGCUCAACCCGGGAAGUGCACUCGAUACUGCUGAGCUUGAGUGUCGGAGAGGUUGGUGGAAUUCUCGGUGUAGAGGUGAAAUUCGUAGAUAUCGAGAGGAACACCGGUGGCGAAGGCGGUCUGCUGGGGUCGAACUGACGCUGAGGCGCGACAGCGUGGGGAGCAAACAGG